AGGGACUUCAUGAAAAAUGGAUGAUGCCCCUUACAUUAGUCUGUUUUCUGUUGCUACAACAAAAUACCUGGAGCUGGCUGAUAUAUGAAGAUAAGAGGUUCAUUUAGCUCACAGUUUUGGAGUCCGAGAGUCCAAAUAGUUGUUGCUGACUUUGGGAGCCCCCCAUCCCAUCAUGGCAGAUGGCAUCCCAAUGGUGGGAGCACAUGGGAGAGGAGGAGCUCAUGUGCCCAGAUAGGAAGUCAGAGAGGAGGAGAGGCCAGGCUCACUCUUUCACAACAAGCUCUUGCAAGAACCAACCAGCGGCCCCUGAAACUGCAUCAGUUCCUUCCUGAGCAGCACCCUCCACGCCGCCCUGAGCUCACCGCCCCCACCAGCCCCGUCUCUUAAAUAAGUCUCCACACCAUCUCCCGGCCCACAAAGCCAAAGCCCCGAGGGACGCAGUCAGACACACCACCCACACGGGGAGGGCCAGCUGUGGCUCAGUUCACCAGUGCAAAUGCCGAGCCCUUUUGGAAGCCCCUUCACAAACAUCCCGAGAGAGCUACUGGGCGCCCCUUGGCCUGCUCAAGUCGACACCUCAAAUUAGCCACCCCUCAAAGCUCUGGAUGCAGCAGUGGUCGCGGUGAGCUACGACCUGGGUGUGAAUGCCCUCGUGGGGCUAAGAAGAUUCUCGCCCCUCCGACCCCCGCCCAAAUUCAGGAUGCGACUGUCUAGCACCUGCUCGAGCCCGGGACUGUGGUCCAUUGAACUGCAAAGCUAAUGCGUUUUUAGCUUCUGUUUACCGCUUGCUUGCUGCCUGGAAAAGUCCAGUCCUGCCCAGAGCCCACAGGUCCCACUUAUCAGUGUUUUAAUUUCUGGGAUUGGCUAGCUUCUGUGACGAUAAGCAGGUCACUGAGUUGUGGUUUUUGUGCUUAGAUUCCCCUUAGAUGGACCAGGAAGCUGCUGCCCUCCCACAGAGCUUGGUCUCUGCGGUGAGUGUCCGCCCCUGGCCAGGUAAAUAAAGCCCUCUUUUGAUUUGGAA